AACGAACGCUGGCGGCAUGCCUAACACAUGCAAGUCGAACGAGACCUUCGGGUCUAGUGGCGCACGGGUGCGUAACGCGUGGGAACCUGCCUUUAGGUUCGGAAUAACUCAGAGAAAUUUGAGCUAAUACCGGAUAAUGUCUUCGGACCAAAGAUUUAUCGCCUUUAGAUGGGCCCGCGUUGGAUUAGCUAGUUGGUGGGGUAAAGCCUACCAAGGCGACGAUCCAUAGCUGGUCUGAGAGGAUGAUCAGCCACACUGGGACUGAGACACGGCCCAGACUCCUACGGGAGGCAGCAGUGGGGAAUAUUGGACAAUGGGCGAAAGCCUGAUCCAGCAAUGCCGCGUGAGUGAUGAAGGCCUUAGGGUUGUAAAGCUCUUUUACCCGAGAUGAUAAUGACAGUAUCGGGAGAAUAAGCUCCGGCUAACUCCGUGCCAGCAGCCGCGGUAAUGUGACUACUG
rnacentral:rRNA from 1 species